AAAUUAUUACACUUUUACAAUUUUGUCCAGUAGGUUUUCUGAUUUUGAUCGGAAAACCCAU
rnacentral:snRNA from 1 species